GAUCGGCACCGGGAUCGGGAUCGGCACCGGGAUCGGGUGUAAGCUUCCCUCUGCCAGUUGGAAUUCAUCCAUCAUCGGAUCCCUGUGGUGCCUUGUGAACAUUCCCAGAGGACCCACACCCUUUGUGUUCUCCUGGGUUCCACCGUGCACGUGGGGCAGUAAAAUCCGUGUGGCCGCAGUUCUGAACUUGGUGAAUUUGAACUAAAGUUGGUGGGUUUGUCCAGUAAGAAAAGUGGUGAUUUAUAAAACCAAGCAGAGUGGUAUUCCACACUAGGGAUUUGGGAUUGGUGAUGAUCCCAGUCCAUAAUCUUUCUGUUCAUUUUCUUUUGGAUGCUGCAACCUGCUGAGCUGGGGGAACGUUCAUUUACAUUUCAGUUUAAUUUUCUGUAUUUCAUUAAUUCUCCGUGGAAAUCUGCUUUUAAUAAAAAGGACCACGAGGAUAUUGAUGACAUCACAGGUUCCUAGGAUUCAGGCAGGUGUUCAUGCAGACCAAGGAUUUUUUUGGAUGGAAGCAGCUGCACCAAUCUCCAAGGAAUCUCAGUCUGGGUUUUUCUUUUCUCCUAAUUGUCCUUGGUUUGGAGGUGCAGUGCAGCCAUGCCCUCUAUAUCUCUUUUAAGGGUUUUUGAGGCUAAAAAGGUUCCUUUGUAUUCCGUAUUCUGCAGUAUUUAUAUAUCUUGAUUAAAAAGAAUAAUAUAAUA